CCUUUUUUAGAAUGCAGAGAUUGAUGCGAGCUUAUUUUCUACAGCGCUUCAGCAACGGAGAAGCAACAGAUCUGGCGAAGAGAGAAAAAAAUCUAUAUUAAUUUUGGUCGUGAAAUGGUAAACUUAGGAAACAUCAGCAGAUUUCUGCAAUUUGGAGAUUAUCAAAGCUAACCCAAUCUCUAAUCUGAAUUAGCAACAUGUAGGCCUAUCUAAAGCAGCAACGUAGCACAAUGACGACUCUGGAUGUGUUACUUUUUCUUCUGAGCGCCCAGGUCAUCCAGGGACAAACACUGACGAUAUAUACAGGAUCACAAUGUAAAUCGUCAAACGAAGAAUGCGCGGGAAAUGACGAGUGCUGCAGCCGUAACUGUGUGCUCAAGAACCCGGGCACGAACAAACGCUGUAGUCAGAGCGCUCUAGGUCAAAGGUGCCUUUUCGGGCACGACUGUGAGGACGAUCUGAAAUGUGGGAAGAUGGGGCAGUGCUGUGCUUUAUAUUGGCAAACGUGUUCGAAGACACAGCACUGCUGCGACCCGAACCAUAGGUGUGUUCGCGUCGAGGGCCCCACCUACCGGAAGUGUUUGUAUCCGCGCUCCAAUACCGUAAAUCUGACCGGACUCAGGUCUUGGAGUGUGUGGAAUGUAUUGUUAUAUUUAAUUCUUCUUA